CACGACCGGCCGGAUUUCUCUGUGCACGCCCGCUUCACGCGGUCGUCACAGCAGGGGCCCGGCCCACAAGUGGAGGCUCCGAACUCCCACCUGACCGCUCUGCUGAGCGGCGGGUCACCGGUCAGGCGGUCCCGCACUUGAGGCGGUGACCCGCCCGAUGCGCGCCCCGCGGUCUCCGCGGCGGUGCUCCGGUUUCACGAGGAGCCCCGCCUGUGAUCGUCCGGGGCAUUUUUU
rnacentral:ncRNA from 1 species